CCUACGGGAGGCAGCAGUGGGGGAUAUUGCACAAUGGGGGGAACCCUGAUGCAGCGACGCCGCGUGGGUGAAGGAGCGUUUCGGCGCGUAAAGCCCUAUCGGCAGGGAAGAAGGAGGACGGUACCUGACUAAGAAGCCCCGGCUAACUACGUGCCAGCAGCCGCGGUAAUACGUAGGGGGCAAGCGUUAUCCGGUUUUACUGGGUGUAAAGGGGGCGCAGACGGCAGCGCAAGCCAGGAGUGAAAGCCCGGGGCCCAACCCCGGGACUGCUCUUGGAACUGCGCGGCUGGAGUGCAGGAGGGGCAGGCGGAAUUCGUGGUGUAGCGGUGAAAUGCGUAGAUAUCGCGCAGAACCCCGAUUGCGAAGGCAGCGUACCGGCUCCACACUGACGCUGAGGCACGAAAGCGUGGGUAUCGAACAGGAUUAGAGACCCCUGUAGUC
rnacentral:rRNA from 1 species